AUUGAACGCUGGCGGCAUGCUUUACACAUGCAAGUCGAACGGUAACAGGCCGCAAGGUGCUGACGAGUGGCGAACGGGUGAGUAAUGCAUCGGAACGUGUCCAGUCGUGGGGGAUAACGCAGCGAAAGUUGCGCCAAUACCGCAUACGAUCUAUGGAUGAAAGCGGGGGACCGUGAGGCCUCGCGCGAUUGGAGCGGCCGAUGUCAGAUUAGGUAGUUGGUGGGGUAAUGGCUCACCAAGCCGACGAUCUGUAGCUGGUCUGAGAGGACGACCAGCCACACUGGGACUGGGAGACGGCGCAGACUCCUACGGGAGGCAGCAGUGGGGAAUUUUGGACAAUGUGCGCAAGCCUGAUCCAGCAAUGCCGCGUGCAGGAAGAAGGCCUUCGGGUUGUAAACUGCUUUUGUACGGAACGAAACGGUCCGGGUUAAUACCCUGGGCUAAUGACGGUACCGUAAGAAUGAGCACCGGCUAACUACGUGCCAGCCGCCGCAGUAACAC
rnacentral:rRNA from 1 species